rnacentral:rRNA from 1 species
UACGUAGGGGGCAAGCGUUGUCCGGAUUUAUUGGGCGUAAAGAGCGUGUAGGCGGCCUGGCAAGUCCGCUGUGAAAACUCGAGGCUUAACCUCGAGACGUCGUGGAAACUGCCUGGCUAGAGUCCGGAAGAGGAGAGUGGAAUUCCUGGUGUAGCGGUGAAAUGCGCAGAUAUCAGGAAGAACACCCGUGGCUAAGGCGGCUCUCUAGUACGGUACUGACGCUGAGACGCGAAAGCGUGGGGAGCGAACAGG